CGUGGCAAUUUUUUUACAGUUUACUCAGGCCGGUUUAACGUUUUUUUAUUUCUUAAGUUCUUUUUUUGCCUUUUUCAUUAAUUUUAUUUUUCUUUUUUCAUAGGGAGCUCUGAUCAACGAAUUCUUAAACCGUUCUUCCGGACAAUUGAAAGCUUUUGCUUUCUCUUAUCACUCGUUUGGUAAAUGGUUGGAAGGAUUUAAACAUGCAAGAACAAUCAUCUUCUCGGGAAUUGUGGCCACGAACCAAAACCAUCAAUCGGCACAUUAGUUGUCGCUUGCACAACAAGUAUUAUCGUAAUAAUUCAAGCAUAAUGUAUUACAUUACAUAUUACAUUAAAAUAAAAAAGUCAAUUGA